rnacentral:rRNA from 1 species
GGGACGAACGCUGGCGGCGUGCUUAACACAUGCAAGUCGAGCGAGGCCCCUUCCUUCGGGAGGGGAGCCCUAGCGGCGAACGGGUGAGUAACACGUGGGCAAUCUGCCCCUAGCACUGGGAUAACUCCGGGAAACCGGGGCUAAUACCGGAUAUGACCUCUGAGGGCAUCCUCUGGAGGUGGAAAGGAUUCUGGCUAGGGAUGAGCCCGCGGCCUAUCAGCUAGUUGGUGGGGUAAUGGCCUACCAAGGCGACGACGGGUA